GUGCUUGUGCAGUGGCAGUAUUGUUGCCAACGAAGUUUACCCAAGGUGUGAUCAUUGCUGAUUGAAAACUUUUCCCACCACCCGACCAUGAUGACUUGAAAUACAGUCGACAUUGGCAGUUUUUGACAGUCUUUAUGGAAA
ensembl:snRNA U4 U4 spliceosomal RNA